ensembl:lncRNA
CGCUAUGACUAUAACUGAAUAUGGGCAUAUCAAUCUGUUCAGGUCAGGAGUCUUAUCAAACAUGUGAAGUUUGGGGCAGAUUGGACAUUGUAUGUCUGAGUUAUAGCAACUUCAUUUUUCAUGGCGAAACAUCGAAAUUCGUCAGGCCGCCACGGACACGCCCUUCAACGAAAACUCAAGAUCUUCGCAAUUUAACAUCGCAAAGGCCUUUAGAUUAGGCAUACCAAAUUUGGUGUUGAUCUGAAAAAAUCUCUAGGAGGAGUUCGUUAAAAUACAAGGCAUGCAAAUGACAAAAAUGAUGCAAAAUUUGCUCAUAAAAUUAAAAAUAACCGACUUCCUGUUGGGUUUCGGAUAUUGCUCCAAGAGUCUUUUUUGUAGGUACUGAUGCUUUACAUAUGUGUGCCAAUUUUCGUGCAUGUACGUGAAACACAGCUCGAGGGCUGUUGAUUUUUUUACGAUAGGUGGCGCUGUCGAGCCAUUUUGCCACACCCUCUUCUGAAACCUAUAUCAGACGUAAAUUUUCACCAGGUCUGACGCGUGUGCAAAGUUUCAGGACUUUUCGAGCAUGUUUAGGCCCUCAAAAAUGCGAUUCAUUUUGGAGAAG